GACGAAUGCUGGCUGCGUGCUUAACACAUGCAAGUCGAACGGUGAAGGAGGGCUUGCCCUCCGGAUCAGUGGCGAGCGGGUGAGUAACACGUGGGCAACCUGCCCCUCACUCUGGGAUAACGCCGGGAAACCGGCGCUAAUACCGGAUACGACCAGGCGCGACAUCUCGCCUGGUGGAAAGAAUUUCGGUGAGGGAUGGGCCCGCGGCCUAUCAGCUAGUUGGUGGGGUAACGGCCCACCAAGGCGACGACGGGUAGCCGGCCUGAGAGGGCGACCGGCCACACUGGGACUGAGACACGGCCCAGACUCCUACGGGAGGCAGCAGUGGGGAAUAUUGCGCAAUGGGCGAAAGCCUGACGCAGCGACGCAGCGUGAGGGACGAAGGCCUUCGGGUUGUAAACCUCUUUCAGCGGGGACGAAGCGAAAGUGACGGUACCCGCAGAAGAAGCACCGGCUAACUACGUGCCAGCAGCCGCCGUAACAC
rnacentral:rRNA from 1 species